rnacentral:rRNA from 1 species
GACGAACGCUGGCGGCAUGCCUAAUACAUGCAAGUCGAGCGAACAGAUGAAGUGCUUGCACUUCUGACGUUAGCGGCGAACGGGUGAGUAACACGUACGGAAUCUACCCAUAAGCGGGGGAUAACAUUCGGAAACGGGUGCUAAUACCGCAUAAUAUCUUCUUCCGCAUGGAAGAAGAUUGAAAGACGGCUCUGCUGUCACUUAUAGAUGACCUUGCGGUGCAUUAGUUAGUUGGUGGGGUAAUGGCCUACCAAGACAAUGAUGCAUAGCCGACCUGAGAGGGUGAUCGGCCACAUUGGGACUGAGACACGGCCCAAACUCCUACGGGAGGCAGCAGUAGGGAAUCUUCCGCAAUGGGCGAAAGCCUGACGGAGCAAUGCCGCGUGAGUGAAGAAGGCCUUCGGGUCGUAAAACUCUGUUAUAAGAGAAGAACAAAUUGUAGAGUAACUGCUACAGUCUUGACGGUAUCUUAUCAGAAAGCCACGGCUAACUACGUGCCAGCCGCCGCAGUAA